GUAGGUCACCUACUUUAAAGCAAACAAGUGACAUCUAUGGAUGAUAAAUGAGGAUUUGGGACUGAGACCAGCU
rnacentral:snoRNA from 1 species